rnacentral:rRNA from 1 species
AGAGUUUGAUCCUGGCUCAGGAUGAACGCUGGCGGCGUGCUUAACACAUGCAAGUCGAACGAAACACCUUAUUUGAUUUUCUUCGGAACUGAAGAUUUGGUGAUUGAGUGGCGGACGGGUGAGUAACGCGUGGGUAACCUACCCUGUACAGGGGGAUAACAGUCAGAAAUGACUGCUAAUACCGCAUAAGACCACAGCACCGCAUGGUGCAGGGGUAAAAACUCCGGUGGUACAGGAUGGACCCGCGUCUGAUUAGCUGGUUGGUGAGGUAACGGCUCACCAAGUCAACGAUCUGUAGCCGAACUGAGAGGUUGAUCGGCCGCAUUGGGACUGAGACACGGCCCAGACUCCUACGGGAGGCAGCAGUGGGGAAUAUUGCGCAAUGGGGGCAACCCUGACGCAGCAACGCCGCGUGCAGGAAGAAGGUCUUCGGAUUGUAAACUGUUGUCGCAAGGGAAGAAGACAGUGACGGUACCUUGUGAGAAAGUCACGGCUAACUACGUGCCAGCAGCCGCGGUAAUACGUAGGUGACAAGCGUUGUCCGGAUUUACUGGGUGUAAAGGGCGCGUAGGCGGACUGUCAAGUCAGUCGUGAAAUACCGGGGCUUAACCCCGGGGCUGCGAUUGAAACUGACAGCCUUGAGUAUCGGAGAGGAAAGCGGAAUUCCUAGUGUAGCGGUGAAAUGCGUAGAUAUUAGGAGGAACACCAGUGGCGAAGGCGGCUUUCUGGACGACAACUGACGCUGAGGCGCGAAAGUGCGGGGAGCAAACAGGAUUAGAUACCCUGGUAGUCCACACCGUAAACGAUGGAUACUAGGUGUAGGAGGUAUCGACCCCUUCUGUGCCGCAGUUAACACAAUAAGUAUCCCACCUGGGGAGUACGACCGCAAGGUUGAAACUCAAAGGAAUUGACGGGGGCCCGCACAAGCAGUGGAGUAUGUGGUUUAAUUCGAAGCAACGCGAAGAACCUUACCUGGGCUUGACAUCCCUGGAAUCGAGUAGAGAUACUUGAGUGCCUUCGGGAAUCAGGUGACAGGUGGUGCAUGGUUGUCGUCAGCUCGUGUCGUGAGAUGUUGGGUUAAGUCCCGCAACGAGCGCAACCCCUAUUGUCAGUUGCCAUCAUUAAGUUGGGCACUCUGGCGAGACUGCCGGUGACAAAUCGGAGGAAGGUGGGGACGACGUCAAAUCAUCAUGCCCCUUAUGCCCAGGGCUACACACGUACUACAAUGGCCGAUAACAAAGUGCAGCGAAACCGUGAGGUGGAGCGAAUCACAAAACUCGGUCUCAGUUCAGAUUGCAGGCUGCAACUCGCCUGCAUGAAGUUGGAAUUGCUAGUAAUCGCGGAUCAGAAUGCCGCGGUGAAUACGUUCCCGGGCCUUGCACACACCGCCCGUCA